rnacentral:rRNA from 1 species
UACGUAGGUGGCAAGCGUUAUCCGGAUUUAUUGGGUGUAAAGGGCGUGUAGGCGGGAAUGCAAGUCAGAUGUGAAAACUCAGGGCUCAACCCUGAGCCUGCAUUUGAAACUGUAUUUCUUGAGUGCUGGAGAGGCAAUCGGAAUUCCGUGUGUAGCGGUGAAAUGCGUAGAUAUACGGAGGAACACCAGUGGCGAAGGCGGAUUGCUGGACAGUAACUGACGCUGAGGCGCGAAAGCGUGGGGAGCAAAUAGG